UACAGAGGGUGCAAACGUUUGUUCGGAUUUACUGGGCGUAAAGCGCGUGUAGGCUGCUUCGCAAGUCGGAUGUGAAAGCCCUGGGCUCAACCCAGGAAGUGCAUUCGAAACUGCAGAGCUGGAGUCCUGGAGAGGAAGGCGGAAUUCUCGGUGUAGAGGUGGAAUGCGUAGAGAUCCGGAAGAACACCGGUGGCGAAGGCGGUUAGCUGGGCAGUAGCUGGACACUGAGGCGCGACAGCUGUGGGGAGCAAGCAGG
rnacentral:rRNA from 1 species